GUUCAGGUAGCUCAGCUGGUUAGAGCAAUGGACUGAAAAUACUUCUGUCAGUGGUUCGAAUCCAUUUCUAAGCA
rnacentral:tRNA from 1 species